CUGAGCCUGUGAUGUGCUGUUAUCCCUGUCUGACACUCAGCUUGAGGAGGAAAAUGUCCAACUGAGGCUCAG
rnacentral:snoRNA from 1 species